UUUCAUUAACAGUGGCAGUAUCAUAGCCCAUGAGGUGCAACUGAGGCGUGAUGAUUGCUAGUUGAAAGAAAACUUUUACAGUAUUUUUAAAAGCACACUGUUAGUG
rnacentral:snRNA from 1 species